UUUACUUGAGAGUUUAAAUUGUUUUCAAAAUGUCAAGUAUGACCAAAUGUCUAGAGACCGGGACGAAGCCAGAAAUUAAAAUUCGGGGAGGGAGGGGGGACAAAAUUUAGAUUUGAUAGAAAAAAAAUUCGACCUCGGAUAAUAAGAAAAAAAUUCGUCAAAUUUACUGAUAACGACAAUAUGCUCAAAAAAGAGCAAGCCUGUAAGGGUUGAAGGGAAAAGGACCAAAAAAUUCAAAAUAAAUUUGAGACACAAAUUUUGUUAAAAAAAUUAAUUUAGCCCCCCUAAAAUUAAAAUUUAUAAUAUUUUAAUUUUUAUUAUAAAGGACUUUUAUAUAAUUUUAAAAAAUUUAAGGAGGGCCCAUGGUCACUGUGGGCCCCUCAAUAGCUCCAUCCCCCUCUAGAGAGAAAUACUUUAUUCGGCCUUUAAAAUAAAUUUUAUAAAUAAAAUAAAUUACCUCAUAAAUAAAAUAUAUUAUUCUACUAAGUUGUAUUUGCCAGGAUCUUUCAAGUGGGAAUCAAAAUUCUAGAUUAAAAUCACAAAAUAAAAAAAUAGAGCAUAAAUUUUACCCAAUAUCUUAUUUUAAUAUCCAAGACAUUAUUUUAAUAUCUCAAUAAAAUAUUUCUAUAUUCCUGCCUAUAAACUUAUGCAUGUACCUCAUUUUAAAGCUAUUAACUUUCUAUUAGACGAGACCGACCGUUCCUCGAGCAAAUGGCAAAGGGUUUGGUGGUUGAUACCUGAGACCCAAGUUCGAAUAGUUGAUUCACAUUUCUAGCUAAGUUUAUUUCUAAAUGAAAUAAAUAAAGCGGGUAGCGUACUAUCUAUCUCUAAAAAAAAAAACUUUCUAUUAGACGAGCAUUGUUGAAAAACAAAAAAAAAAAAUAUCUUAACUUAAAUUUAACUGGAAGUCAUUUUCAAUUUGAAAAUUAUUUAUGAGCAAAUAAACAGAUAUCUAUGUGAUGGUAAAAUUAAUUACAAGAGAAAAAAAAAUUAAAAAAUAAUA
rnacentral:lncRNA from 1 species